CUUGUAUUUAUAAUGGAUUAACAAGAUAAUCGGCAUUUCGUCGAGGUAAGCAAUGAGCGUAGCAUUCCUUUAAAUAUUUUUUUGAUACUACUGUGUUACCUCCCUACUUGUUGGACUCGGAUCUACGUUUUUGCCUUGCCUUCCUUUCCUACAAUAACCCAAAACAUGACACCACACCUUGUAUAUAAAUUGCCUCUUGCCCUGCAAAACACCCUCACAUGAUUUUGGCCUGUUUUAUUAUAGUCUCUCGCUUCUCCUCCAGCUCUCCUACUCAGAGGGGACUCGGUGGUGAAAAGCAAAACUGAGGCUGUUGAUGUAAGGAAGGAUAAGAUGCUGGGUGGACGGACCAUUUGCCUGGAGGGGCUGCUGUGGAGGAUUCUGCAUUGACCAAGACAUGUCCUGAUGUAGACACAUUUCUCCGACGGCAUUACCGGUGGCGCUUCAUUUAAUGAAAUGAACUGUCACAGCUAUAUUAUCUAGAAUUGUUCGCCAUCAUAUUGUGAUAAAUGUUACUCUUGGAACAUCCAUUUCACCCGGGUCAUCCUUGAAGGGAGAAUCCUCCAUUUGUGAUACCUUCUCUUGAUUUCUUCGUGUUUUUGUCACUUAAAAUGUUUUUUUUUUUUUUGUUUUUUUAGAUUUUCCCUGCCCUGGGAACUGAGCUCUUCUGAGACUUUGUUUUGAUUAGGGAUCAUAGAAAUAUACUUGAUUUAACACCUGUAACAGCAACAAUCCACAUAGCACACCAUAACCUCCCUCCUGUGGCUGACCUGUGGCAUGAGUUUGAGUACCAGCUCCUCCAGGAGGCUUUUCUCACAGCUCUGGAAGAUGGUAACCUUAGAGAGGGUUGGUGCUGGUACCAGUUGUCAAUGCGCUGACGCAGCUCUUUGCUGAUGUAGUGACUGCGCAGCUGGCGACUGGUUCAAGAUGAAUUCCGCUUCCUGGGUUGCCGCUGCAGAGGUGCAUCGGGCGGGGAGGUGGUUUGGCCGCAUGCAGUUUGGGUGCUUGCGGGAGGUUGAAAAGAGCUCUCCCCCACACUGGCCACCGGUGGCACAGCGUCUUCUCAAUGGCCGACUGUCCCCAGUGUGACAGCUGUAAAUGACGUUCCAGGCAAUAUGGCUAUCACUUGGAUGUCGAGUGAGACUUCCGCAACUUUGCGCAUGAAUGACACGCUCUCCGCACGUACUUACUUUUUCAUAUAUACAUUGAAGUGAAUAUA